CACGUAGUUAGCCGUGGCUUUCUCACAGAGUACCGUCACUUUCUUCCUCCUCUGCGACAGAAGUUUACAACCCGAAGGCCGUCAUCCUUCACGCGGCGUUGCUGCGUCAGGGUUUCCCCCAUUGCGCAAUAUUCCCCACUGCUGCCUCCCGUAGGAGUCUGGGCCGUGUCUCAGUCCCAAUGUGGCCGAUCAACCUCUCAGUUCGGCUACUGAUCGUCGACUAGGUGGGCCGUUACCCCGCCUACUAUCUAAUCAGACGCGAGUCCAUCUGUAAGCGAUAAAUCUUUCAAAGCUUCCCCAUGCGGAAAAACUUCAAUAUGCGGUAUUAGCACAGAUUUCUCUGUGUUAUCCCCCUCUUACAGGCAGGUUACUCACGCGUUACUCACCCGUCCGCCGCUCUCCACAAAAGACUUCACCCCGAAGGGAUCAGUCUCUUGUUUCCCGCUCGACUUGCAUGUGUUAGGCACGCCGCCAGCGUCUCUCUGUCACGAGUCAACUACU
rnacentral:rRNA from 1 species